rnacentral:rRNA from 1 species
UGAGGAAUAUUGGUCAAUGGGCGGGAGCCUGAACCAGCCAAGUCGCGUGAAGGAAGAAGGAUCUAUGGUUCGUAAACUUCUUUUGCAGGGGAAUAAAGUGCAGGACGUGUCCUGUUUUGUAUGUACCCUGAGAAUAAGGAUCGGCUAACUCCGUGCCAGCAGCCGCGGUAAUACGGAGGAUCCGAGCGUUAUCCGGAUUUAUUGGGUUUAAAGGGUGCGUAGGUGGUUUGAUAAGUCAGCGGUGAAAGUUUGCAGCUUAACUGUAAAAAUGCCGUUGAAACUGUCGGACUUGAGUGUAAAUGAGGUAGGCGGAAUGCGUGGUGUUGCGGUGAAAUGCAUAGAUAUCACGCAGAACUCCGAUUGCGAAGGCAGCUUACUAAGCUACAACUGACACUGAAGCACGAAAGCGUGGGGAUCAAACA